ACCGAUACUAAUUGCUCGUGAGGCUUGAUCCUAUAACACUGAUGGUUAUG
rnacentral:rRNA from 1 species